GCCAUGCCAGUCCCUUGCUCCAAAGGAGCCCAGCACCCACCUGCUGCAGGACUGGCAUGAGCAGGAGCUGCAUGCGGUGCCCAGUGCUGGCAUGUGCCCCCCACAGCAACAGCCUGGCUCCCUCAGCAGGUGAAAAUGUUUCAUCUCCAAUAACCACUUGUCUCAUUAUCCAGCUGCGCUAGUUUUGCACUAUCUGGUUACCGCCUGGCUUGGAGACACCUGUUCUGUGUCCAGGCAUUUUAGAGAAAAACUCUCCAAAGCUGUCAACAGACAGAGAAGGGCUGCCUGUUUCCAUGGGAACGUGCUCCCUGAGCCCUGCAUGCAAGGAGUGCUGCGGAUUGCCGGACACUGCUGGGAGAGCCAGGAUUGAUCCUGGGCAUUGCUGUGAGGUGCACUGCCUGUAGGCGAAGUGGGAAGGGGACACAAUGGGGAGCACAGCACCAUGUCCCUGCCAAGGGGACAGAAGGGAUGGCUGGGUGCCUGCAGGAGUCUGCUCAGUAAUUGGUGCUGCCCUAUUAUUGCAACGGAAUUAAUUGCGCAGUGGCUAUUACUGAGCACUGGGGAUCUGCGGCAGGCAGCGGUGGGCGAAACAGCUGAACAACCACAACCCGCCGAUUCGGGCCAGUGUGGGAGUGCUCGGCCACACGGCUCUGUCCUUGUGAUUGAACGCGAAAUGGAAGCCCUGAGAGUGAAAGGCUGAAACAAAUGACAGCAUUCAAACCUUACAAUGCAAUUUUUAAAUUAAUAAGUGCGUCCCCACUGGGCUACCUGCAUAGGCGAUGCGGGCUGUCUCAUUCAGCAUUCAUGCCAAGGGCUGGAGCACUUGCUUUUAAGUCCUUUGAUCCAGCACAUGAAGCACGGUGAUUAAAAAUAUGGAGUUAAAAAAUGGAAAAGAGUGCGGCAGGACCCAGGGACGAGAAGGGUCAGUGCUGCAGAUGUUUUGCUGCUGCCAUGGCUCUAACCUCUGCCUGGUGUCAGCAUGGGACUCGGUCACACAAGGUCUCACUGAGAUACACAGUCAGAUAGCAGGAGGCUCCUUGCUCCCACAGAGCAUCUCAUCUCCUUGUGGCUUUUUCUCGGAGAGCAGGCUGCUUUCCAAGCUCCCCUGAGUGUUUGUUGAGCUCCUCUGGCUGGACUGGCAGGGUAGAUGCUGCUCAGCUCUGAGGCCACCUGACUUGGCAGCAUCCCCCAACUCUGCCCCAGGCAGGCACAGAAAUCUCCUUGGCCAAAAGCAAAAUCCACGCUGCAGCACGGUGCCCGGGGCCAGAAAUGCUGUACUUAUCCUCUUUUAGUAGGACAGAGCUGUUCCUUGCAGGCAGGUCUGUACACAGACACAGUAUCCAUUCCAACACUAUCUGUGGGGUUUCUGAAGACGUAAAAUAAUGUGGGCCUAAUUAGAUGGUUGAAAUGACUGGCAAUGGCUGAUCGCCACAUUCAUCUUUCAAGGGAUGGCUGGGAGCUGCUCCUGGGGUCCAGCAACCAUCAUCAAAGGGUCCUCUGAACCUCCAAAGCCAUAGCAGGGAUGCUUUGAGGAGUUUCUUCCAUCACAGUGAGCUGUUGUAUCAUCCUUGUUUCACGCUGCUGAAAUCUGGUGGUCUGGAGGUCAUGCUAUUGGCUCUUGGUACGUGGGUUUGGGGAAUGUGUUCAAAUGGAGAGAUGAACUCUGGGUGUUGAAGGGGGAAGGACCAGGAGACCAUGUU
rnacentral:lncRNA from 1 species